CCAUUUAUAAAAUAACAUGCUCAACUGUCAGUGACAAUAAACACUUGGUAAACCUGAAAACAAAGCUUUCAAUCAAUCAAUUCAGAUUCCAACAGAACACAGCCCUGCAGAGAGCUG